UACGUAGGGGGCGAGCGUUAUCCGGAUUUACUGGGUGUAAAGGGGGCGCAGACGGCGAUGCAAGCCAGGAGUGAAAGCCCGGGGCCCAACCCCGGGACUGCUCUUGGAACUGCGUGGCUGGAGUGCAGGAGGGGCAGGCGGAAUUCCUGGUGUAGCGGUAAAAUGCGUAGAUAUCAGGAGGAACACCAGUGGCGAAGGCGGCCUGCUGGACGAUGACUGACGUUGAGGCUCGAAAGCGUGGGGAGCAAACAGG
rnacentral:rRNA from 1 species